UCCGAUGGCAACUUUUGCGAUGGAGAAAGCUGCCUCGAUAAUCACGGCUCAUAUUUCCCCAUCUCAAUUUCCAGAAAUACCCUUCCGUUAACCCUUAUUUACCAACUCAGCCAAACAAACCCACGCAAUUUCUCAGCGCAUGAUGGGGUAUUUUUAUGAAUUUAGCAUGUUUCUAAUUAGGAAUUCACGAGCCAUUCUUCACGAGGAUGAUAUGCCGCGUGUCAAUCGCUCGACCUCGCUUCCUGGGUAAAUGAGCAAUUGAGGGCCACUAGGAUUUUUCCCGCUUUUGAAAGAAAAACCACUGAGAAAAAAUAUUAAUAUUUCAACCUGUUAUCCUCUCUGGACUAAGAGACCAGAGAUAGAGAGAAAGAGAGCCAACCAACGGCAUCGACUUUUAAUGAAUUGUAUUCGCAAAUGGUAUAAUUAAUUCUCAGCUUCAAUCUAGUUGUUUUCAGCAAUGGCUAUCGGCAGCCUGAUUUGUAGCCGGAAUUUCGAUUCUUUUGUCGGCUCAGCAGGGAAAGUUUGUCAUCAAGAACAAUCAAUUUCAUAUCAUAAGGGAGAGCUAUCAGGAAUAGCUGCUGCAAGGUUUCCACAUGGGAGCUUCUUCUAUCAAAAGUUUCAUAGCCGGAUGGCCAUUGCUUUUACUUCUGGAUUCUCAUGUUCCCCAUUUAUUCAACAAAAAAAUAUUGGAAGAUAUGAGUGUUCUUCAUAUUCCUCUGUUGGUAAUUGGUGUCAGCUGAGCAAAUGGCAAUGUCGGCAUUUUGACUAUGUCAAGGUCAAUAGAACCCGUGCUUACUACAAAUCUGAGGAAUAUGACAUAACAGAUGCUGCUGUGGACUCAUUGAAGUGCACAGAGGGGUCAGCUGAGGCUGUGUUAAUUGAAGGAAAUCUUCAAGAAACUUCACCUUGGUGGCAACAGUUUCCGAAACGUUGGGUGAUUGUGCUAUUCUGUUUUUGUGCAUUUCUAUUAUGCAACAUGGACCGUGUAAACAUGAGCAUUGCAAUACUUCCAAUGUCACAAGAGUUCAAUUGGAACAGUGCAACAGUUGGUUUAAUUCAGUCCUCAUUUUUCUGGGGCUACCUUAUGACUCAGAUUCUUGGAGGCAUUUGGGCAGAUAAAAUAGGUGGAAAGUUAGUCUUGGGUUUUGGAGUGGUCUGGUGGUCUGUAGCUACAGUUUUGACUCCUAUUGCUGCAAGAAUUGGACUCCCUUUUCUGCUGAUGAUGCGUGCUUUCAUGGGACUUGGAGAGGGUGUUGCUAUGCCUGCUAUGAAUAACAUUCUUUCUAAGUGGAUUCCUGUGUCAGAGAGAAGCAGAUCACUUGCCUUAGUUUAUAGUGGCAUGUAUCUAGGUUCUGUCACAGGAUUGGCCGUCUCUCCUAUUCUAAUCCAUAAAUUUGGGUGGCCUUCUGUCUUCUAUUCAUUUGGCUCCCUGGGCAGCAUCUGGUUUGCUUUAUGGCUAAGAAAGGCGUAUAGCUCACCGAAGGACGACCCAGAGCUUAGUGCACAGGAAGAAAAACUUAUCUUGUGGGGCAGCACAUCAAAGGAACCUGUUUCUGUCAUUCCUUGGAAAUUAAUAUUAUCAAAAGCACCUGUUUGGGCACUUAUUAUUUCUCACUUCUGCCAUAAUUGGGGUACCUUUAUUCUUUUAACAUGGAUGCCUACAUACUACAAUCAGGUUUUGAAGUUUAACCUCACUGAAUCUGGUCUAUUCUGUGUCUUGCCAUGGUUAACCAUGGCUCUUUUUGCAAAUAUUGGAGGGUGGAUUGCUGACACACUUGUAAGCAAAGGUCUUUCCAUAACUGCAGUUCGAAAGAUCAUGCAAUCAAUUGGGUUUUUAGGACCAGCCUUCUUUCUCACUCAGUUGAGUCAUGUUAGGACUCCUGCCAUGGCUGUACUGUGCAUGGCAUGCAGUCAGGGAUCUGAUGCAUUCUCUCAGUCUGGUCUAUAUUCCAACCACCAAGACAUUGGCCCCCGUUAUGCUGGAGUUCUGUUAGGACUAUCAAAUACUGCGGGAGUGCUUGCUGGUGUUUUUGGCACUGCUGCAACUGGCUACAUUCUCCAAAGAGGUUCUUGGGAUGAUGUGUUUAAGGUGGCUGUAGUAUUGUACAUCAUAGGCACGUUAGUGUGGAACAUCUUUUCCACUGGAGAGAAAGUUCUUGACUAGAUCAAGGGGUGCAGGAAUGGGGUGAGGAUGCUCUACAUAAUGAAGAUGCAGUUUACAUAGCUAAGGAGAUCCAAGCGUAAAGAAAUUGAAGUAGUAAUGAGAAAAAGAUGAAAAAAAAAACCACAUUUGCAAGAUUGAAAACCUUGCUGAAACAAUUACAAGCUAAGAAGCCCUCGUCGAAGUUUUGCCGCCACCUUUUAGUCCUUUAUUUGCUCUGACAUAUUUUGGGUUGGCUUUAAAAGACCUUUUUAUCAGUUAUAUCUCCUUUU
rnacentral:misc_RNA from 1 species